UACGAAGGGGGCUAGCGUUGCUCGGAAUUACUGGGCGUAAAGGGCGCGUAGGCGGCCUGCUAAGUCGGACGUGAAAUCCCUCGGCUCAACCGAGGAACUGCGUCCGAUACUGGUGGGCUUGAAUCCGGGAGAGGGAUGUGGAAUUCCAGGUGUAGCGGUGAAAUGCGUAGAUAUCUGGAGGAACACCGGUGGCGAAGGCGGCAUCCUGGACCGGUAUUGACGCUGAGGCGCGAAAGCUAGGGUAGCAAACGGG
rnacentral:rRNA from 1 species